GGCUCUGGGGGUCGCGUGCCUCAGGGCGUCCUGUGGGAUCGGCCUCCGCGUGCGGGAAGCGCGGCGUUUGUCUGGAGCGUGCCCGCUAUCCUUGUCACGUGCCUUUUUGCAUCCCAGGGGACCGUUUGCGUUAACAAAUAGAACUGCAGAGAUUCUCGAGGAACGAAGAAGAAAAUUGCAUUGAGGUGCAGAUCCCGCGCACCGCGGUGACGGCGCGGCCUUCUCUGGGGCCUGGCGGAAGGAAGGGCCCGUUGUGAGGGAGCUGGGCUGGCGUCAUGGCCGGGCAGAGAGAGAGGCCAAGUGGCAAAGUGAGCUGCCGUGGCCGGUGUGGAGGCAGACAGCCACGGUGUAAAGGCCUCGUGCUGCCUCAGAAGGAAGAUCUGUGGCUGUUACCAGCGUGUCAGUGAGGGAGGAUGCAGCUGUUGUUACUGACAGUGUGCAAGCAGCCCUAGGAGCACCCUGUGCCCCUCAGCAGUUCCCCAGCUGCGGUUUGAAGGACCUGCUUCCAAAACGUGCUGGAGAGGGAGAAGCUGCCAGAACAGAAACAUGGAGCUGCUGAGCACCAGUCAACUGCUGUCACCAUUCUCAGCUUAAUUCAUCACCAGUGAUCCCAUGGUUAACGCAAUCCUUGUGGCUACUUAUGCCCACAGCUCAGCCUUCCAUAGUGUUACAGAAGUAAGAACUUUCUGGACAUAAUGUGUUUGGGUUUUUCUUUAAAUACCUUGAGAUCAUCAUCGUGUGUGCAUGUGAACUAGUCAUACUAGAUAUGUUCUGCUAGUAGCUAAAACACUGCUAAGAUCAGAGGAAGCUACUUUUCUGAAUGGAUGUGCGCUCAUGCACUCCUGUCUUUUCUUUCCACAAGUAAUCCUUGUUGGAGUAGUUUUUUGUUAUUCCGUUAGCACAAGAAUAUCUAUCUGAACAAGGCCUCUUGGACACCAGAGCUUUGACUCCCCUCUUCUGUGUAUGUAAAGAGAGAUUGCUUUGAUUUUCAAAGCAGUGUGAAACAGAAAGUGCUUUGUCCCAGCCAGAAAUAGUAAUUCCUUAUACACAGCUUUUUCAACAACACAUUUCAGAAUGCCCCCUCUUGUCUCAGGACAAGCCAGAACUGACUCUGGGAACUAGUUAUCACAGCCCUUGGAACAAGUAUCCUGUUGAAGUACUGAUAUGGAGAAGGCAAGUUGAAGACUUGAGAGUAUUUUUGUAGGAUAAAGGAAUUGAUGAAUGAGUUCUAAUUGGGGAGUUUAUAAUAGAAUACAGUUGUAGAGUUAUGUUUUUUGUCAGUUCUGAGAAAACAAGGAUAUCUGAGAAGAGGAAGUCCAAUAACUAUGAAAUAAACAUGCUGAGAAGCAGAGAUCUGUAGGGACAGGCUGUUCAGCUACCCGAGGAAGGCUGCAGUGACCACAGCAGCUUCAAGUUCACUGAAAACUUGAUUCUAAUUUGCAUCAUGCGAUUUACUGUUACAGAUAGACAAAGUUUCAAUGAUAAUAACUAAAAAUAAGACUUUGAGAAGCAGCAGUUUAUUAAAAAGAAGAUGACAAUAAAAAUGAGCUACAAGGCCAAAACUGGAAGUUUUUAAUAAUUGCUGAGCUGCAGUACUACCAGAUAUAGCAAACAGGUAGGCAAGCUCAGGGAGAACAGACUCAGCAGCAGCCACGACAAAGCAGUUGGAUGUGUAGAUGUUCCCAGGCACCCCAUUGUGAGCACUUAUGUCACUGGGAGGCUAUCUCUAGAAUAUUCAAUGCGUGUAGCAGGAAUAUCAUCAUCUAUUAAGAACAUUCUCUGGUUCUGUAACCUCUGGGUUCUAAGUGUUCAACACUAUACAUUUUUUAAGCAAAUCUGUCAUGUUCUCAGUUCACUUUUGACUGAACUAGCUUUGCUUCACUUGUGGAUAUCUAUGCGUGUGUGUAUGUAUGUACACAUGUAUGUAUAAAAACACUCAUAUUUACUAAAAGAUGGGCAGCAAAAUUCACCAUCCAGACAUGAAACUACCACUCAGAUCAGCAUCCACAUGGGGAUGCCUGUAAUACUGAGGAGCUACACAGAACUCUAAGUAGCCCAGCUAUUGCUACUGUGUUCUAGGGCUCUCAACCAAAAUACUAUUUUCACAUUUGCUGGUAAAUUUCAACUCAGAUGCAACUGAAAGGUGACACUGGUGUUUUUUUCCUCCCCAAAUGUAAUAGUAUUGCCAUAUGAGUAACUAAAAAGGCAUGGCUGCAGAAGUGGGGCAUAAAGCUAACAAAACUUUCUGAAGAGAAGAUCAUUCUGAGAGCACAGACUGCACAAGGUUUUCAAGACUCACAUGCACACUCAGCUUUAAACUUGUGGCUGGGCUCAGGUCAACACAACUCCACAGCUGUGAUCAGAACUGUUUCAGGCCCACCUUCACAUACGUUUCUCACAUAAAGAAAAUAAUCUAGAAGUCAUUUUAAUAUAAAAUGUUUUUAUUUUUGAAAACAUUUAAAAAACAAUUUUUGAGCACUUUCAAUAAAAAAAAUAACUGAAAUGCUACUGCAAUAUUCAACUACUGUAGUUUCAGCAGUACAACAGACAACGAAACACUGCGGGAGAGAGGGAAAACUGGAUUUCCUGCAUUUAAUGAAAAUGUAGUACAGGGAUUUGUUUUUUCCUUAGGGUGCAGUUAAUAAAGCACGGUAUAGUACAAGAUUAUUAUAUGAACCUUGGAUGCACUGCACAAGAAACGCUUUCCUUCUUUUCAGUUCAGAAGUCAGUGCUUAUUGCAAUUAUUUGCAAAUUAUUUACUUCAUGAAUUCUUAUCAUGAUAAAAUGAUGCAAAAAUAUCUUUCAACACCCGAACAAUAAAAAAGAAUCCAAAAAAGGAACAUAUUCAACAAUAACUAAGCUGAAUUAGUUAACAUAAAAAAGUAAGUAACUUGUGAAUAACUAUGCUCACCUGGUUAACACCGAACCAGCUUCAAUACAGCAAAGAAUAAAAAAAAGUGGUUACAGGAAUAUAUCUAGUACUGUACAAGAUUAAGUCAUUAACACUCAUGCACAUUUUGUGAUCAUGUAUUAACAUGGUGAAGCAAACUAAACUUGAUUUUUCCUGCUGUAAUAUUCUCAUUUAAGAGAAUAAGAAAUAGAAAUAUCUCAUUGAGAUCAAUGCACAUUGCUACAUAAGACAAUUUCACCUGUCACUUUUAAUGACAUUUUGCCUUUUAAUGAUGAAACACAUUAGAUUUUUUUCCGUUUUAUUUUUUGUGGGUUUUUUUGUUUAUUUAUUAUUUUAUUUAAAUCUGUUGGCCGUAUUUGUUGCAUUUAUCCUAAGGAACGUGCCUGCCACAGGUUCAACAGAAUAUUAGUGCAAUACAUGAACCCAGAUAGUUUGCUGGACUAACCAACCAAUUUUAAAGUGUUUGCUGCAAUACUGUACACAGUGUACAAGUUCACUAGUUUGUAUAUUUUAGCAAAAACUGCUAUCAAAAGUAUCUAUCGUCUUAUUUGGAAGCCAAUUAUGUAAACAAGGGGUCAGAACUGUCUCAUCUUCUUUGUUCUGGAGUAUCUGACAGACAGGCUUCCAUUUGCUAAGAUAAUGGAAUCUUCCUUUGGGUAUUGCAUACUUUGGUGUGCAGACGUGCUCUGUCUCAACGUAAAGAACUAACAAGCACUAAAUACAGGGACCUCAUAGAAUAUCAGUUAUAACACCAACACAAAAACACUGCUAAAAGGACACAUACCAAUGUACAAAGCCGUGUCUGUGCCUUGGAUUUCACUUGAAAGAACCCUUACCGAAUAGAACACUUCUUCAAUUAAACAUAAAUUUGCUUUAAAUCCACUGAUCACUGAAUAUUCCUGCUAAUCAAAUCACUUGUUAGGUUCAAAGUAAUGCUUGUAUUUAAAACCAUGUAAAAGGUACUUUAAAAACCUUUGGUGACGGCUGCAUAAUUUAGAGAGCAUCAGCUUCAAAUCUACUCUUGUUUUAGUGAGAAAUGUUCUGAAAAACUAGUGAAAAAAGUUAGGUGAGAACUUGUUUACACCAAGCCCACGUCAGUCUCAGCAACACGGGGGCCAGGCCAGCACAUGGUGCAGACUGCCACAGCACAGAUGGAGCUCGAGUUCUCCCCCUCCACACUGGAAAGCAGGGUUCACAUAUUCACCAGCACUUCACACAGGGUCAGAGAAAAGAAGUGCUGAGCGUGUCUCAGACCCAGCCAAGUCAACAAGGCAAGAGGAUGGUGAGCCACACCUCUGGCUAAAGGCCGUGGACAGGCAUGCAACUCAAGCCCAGCCACUGGCAACUUGUGCCUAAAGGAAAAAUGGUUCCAGCCUUACUGUAGACACCUAAAAGAACCCUACUGUGCAGUUUCUAGAUUCCUAACCUCUUCCUUAACUAACUUAAAAGGGUGACUUAAACCACACCAUUGCAUAUCCCUAUGCUUCAAGGAGCAACCCAAACUCUCCACGUCUUUUCCUAAGCAAAAGCAGCAAAAUUUCUGAUGCAAGCACAGUGAACUCACGCUCCCUGUAAGGCGCUACAGUUUGUCACAACAGUUUUGCCCCCGAAGAAGCAGCCACAGACCAGUGGUCGAUCAGGGCAAGAGCAAGAGAAGGCAUGAUACACCAGCACCUGAAGUGACAAUGCAGCAGCACAAUUCAGAUCAGCACCGCCAAAAAAAUUAAUCAGGACUGAGAUCAAGUCCUUAGCAAAAACUGAAGAAACAAAUGACCACUAAGUCACUUUAAAAAACAGAAAUUAAAAACAAUAAUCUGAGCAUCUAUUCCUUAGUAAAUCUAGGGGGGCUUCUUGUGCCUUCCCAUUCAUAAAUUCAUGACCUCUUAUUCAAAGGAGGAAUGCAAGAGAGGAAAAUGUCUUCUGCUCUGCUUUCAGUUUGUCAGUUCACAAGAGAAAUAACCAAUUUUAUACUAAGCUUAAGAGAUGGUACUGUAGCAUUCUCAGAACAACUAUUUCUUAACAGCUUGAUUCUGCAAGUCCUCUUUCUAGCAUCAGGGCCAUGGCUGGUCAAGCACCUCUCUCUUCAUCAUCAGACUCGUGCCAUGCUGAUAAAACAAAAGGCCUUUUUUUUUUUUGGUUUAAGUAAACUGGUGAGUUAGAAGUUUAAAUUCCAUUUUCAAAGGGGGUAGCUAAGGACAUGUAACAAAAAUUCGAUUCAUCAGUCCUCUCAAAUCAUUCAGUGAAAACUGAAUUCAGGCUUCUAAAACCAGCAA